rnacentral:rRNA from 1 species
GACGAACGCUGGCGGCGUGCCUAAUACAUGCAAGUCGAACGCAGCUGGGACGGUUGAGUAACACGUGGGUAACCUCCCAUCAGAGGGGAUAACACUUGGUAACAGGUGCUAAACCGAUACUGAUGGAUGGACCCGCGUUGCAUUAGCUAGUUGGUGAGGUAACGGCUCACCAAGGCCACGAGGCAUAGCCUACCCGCGAGUGGGAUGGGGCGGCCGAGGACUGUGACAGGGACCGAGCUCGUACGGGGGGCAGCGGUAGGGAAUCUGCGGAAGUGGACGAAAGUCUGACCGAGCAACGCCGCGUGAGUGAAGGAGGUUUUCGGAUCGUAACACUCUGUUGUUAGAGAAGCGGUAUCUAACCAGAAUGCCACGGCUAACUACGUACCAGCAGUCGCGGUAAUAC